AGAUAGUUGCUGGAUAGCAAUAUAAAGUGUAUACAUCAGUCCGUUUUAAAAGAAGCAUUGUUUAUACACAAAAAUUCUUUCAACUUUCGAACUUAUUGUUCUAUUGGCUCGUGUAUAGUACACGAAUGCAUCGGAAACGAUGACUUAUUGUUUCAGAUAGCAAUCAGAUGAGUAAGUUGGAUCAAGUACACAUUUGUACUUUUUAUACAUCAGGGAUGAGAUUGGCCAAAAAGCAAAAAAGCUGAAUUUCCACACGUGAUUCCUGGUUCAAGUGUGAAACUCUACCGAAAAGGAAAGAGAGUGAAAAAGUUUGAAAUUGCUGUCUCAAAUGAUACUGUCACCAUCAUAUUUAAAAAACAUAAACUGAGUGACAGUGGAAUAUACUAUCUUGCUUUGUGCCACAACAACAACGAGGACAGCGUGUUAUUGAAUUUGUCUUUCCAUAGAAUGAUAAAAGAGAAGAUCGAUUUCUACUCUCAUUUGCCAAAACCGAAAGGGGAAAAAUAUUGGAACUUCUUCGAGGAAAAAGGCAAAUUUUACGGAUAUCAAAAAAGAUUCAACCUUUAGGUUGCAAAUGAGGAAAUGCCAAAAAUAGUUUAAGAAGGCAUGCAGUCUAAGAAGAUGCUUGUAUUUAUGUUGAUGACUUAUAUUCUUAUUUAUUCUUAUUUAUUCUUUU